rnacentral:rRNA from 1 species
CGAAAGCCUGACGGAGCAAUACCGCGUGAGGGAGGAAGGCUCUUGGGUUGUAAACCUCUUUUCUCAGGGAAUAAGAACUGAAGGUACCUGAGGAAUCAGCAUCGGCUAACUCCGUGCCAGCAGCCGCGGUAAUACGGAGGAUGCAAGCGUUAUCCGGAAUGAUUGGGCGUAAAGCGUCCGCAGGUGGUUUAUCAAGUCUGCUGUCAAAGAGUUUGGCUCAACCAAAUAAAGGCAGUGGAAACUGACAGACUGGAGUGCGGUAAGGGCAGAGGGAAUUCCUGGUGUAGCGGUGAAAUGCGUACAGAUCAGGAANAACACCGGUGGCGAAAGCGCUCUGCUGGGCCGUAACUGACACUGAGGGACGAAAGCUAGGGGAGCGAAUGGGAUUANAUACCCCANUAGUCA